AGAGUUUGAUCCUGGCUCAGAUUGAACGCUGGCGGCAUGCCUUACACAUGCAAGUCGAGGGGUAUUGGUUUUCGGACCAAGAGACCGGCGCACGGGUGCGUAACGCGUAUGCAAUCUACCUUUUACAGAGGGAUAGCCCAGAGAAAUUUGGAUUAAUACCUCAUAGCAUAGCAGCUUCGCAUGAAGCCACUAUUAAAGUCACAACGGUAAAAGAUGAGCAUGCGUCCCAUUAGCUAGUUGGUAAGGUAACGGCUUACCAAGGCUACGAUGGGUAGGGGUCCUGAGAGGGAGAUCCCCCACACUGGUACUGAGACACGGACCAGACUCCUACGGGAGGCAGCAGUGAGGAAUAUUGGACAAUGGGCGCAAGCCUGAUCCAGCCAUGCCGCGUGCAGGAUGACGGUCCUAUGGAUUGUAAACUGCUUUUAUACAGGAAGAAACAGUUCUACGUGUAGAACCUUGACGGUACUGUAAGAAUAAGGAUCGGCUAACUCCGUGCCAGCAGCCGCGGUAAUACGGAGGAUCCAAGCGUUAUCCGGAAUCAUUGGGUUUAAAGGGUCCGUAGGCGGUUUAAUAAGUCAGUGGUGAAAGCCCAUCGCUCAACGGUGGAACGGCCAUUGAUACUGUUAGACUUGAAUUAUUAGGAAGUAACUAGAAUAUGUAGUGUAGCGGUGAAAUGCUUAGAGAUUACAUGGAAUACCAAUUGCGAAGGCAGGUUACUACUAAUGGAUUGACGCUGAUGGACGAAAGCGUGGGUAGCGAACAGGAUUAGAUACCCUGGUAGUCCACGCCGUAAACGAUGGAUACUAGCUGUUGGAAGCAAUUUCAGUGGCUAAGCGAAAGUGAUAAGUAUCCCACCUGGGGAGUACGUUCGCAAGAAUGAAACUCAAAGGAAUUGACGGGGGCCCGCACAAGCGGUGGAGCAUGUGGUUUAAUUCGAUGAUACGCGAGGAACCUCACCAAGGCUUAAAUGUAGUUUGACCGAUUUGGAAACAGAUCUUUCGCAAGACAAAUUACAAGGUGCUGCAUGGUUGUCGUCAGCUCGUGCCGUGAGGUGUCAGGUUAAGUCCUAUAACGAGCGCAACCCCUGUUGUUAGUUGCCAGCGAGUCAUGUCGGGAACUCUAACAAGACUGCUAGUGCAAACUGUGAGGAAGGUGGGGAUGACGUCAAAUCAUCACGGCCCUUACGCCUUGGGCUACACACGUGCUACAAUGGCCGGUACAGAGAGCAGCCACUGGGCGACCAGGAGCGAAUCUAUAAAACCGGUCGCAGUUCGGAUCGGAGUCUGCAACUCGACUCCGUGAAGCUGGAAUCGCUAGUAAUCGGAUAUCAGCCAUGAUCCGGUGAAUACGUUCCCGGGCCUUGUACACACCGCCCGUCAAGCCAUGGAAGCUGGGGGUGCCUGAAGUCGGUGACCGCAAGGAGCUGCCUAGGGUAAAACUGGUAACUAGGGCUAAGUCGUAACAAGGUAACC
rnacentral:rRNA from 1 species